UAAAGAGGUCUGCUUCUAAAGGGAGAGACAUAAAUACUUAUUUUCAUCAAAAACUUAUUACACAUAGAGCGGCAAUUGGAGUCAUCUUUGCUAUCACUGACAGUAACAAGACAGCUGCAAUUGCAGAAAGUUAUCCUGGCACACGGAGUGAAAAUCACGGCAGAAACCUGAAGCCACAUAUCAGAUUCCAGACAGUCAUCACCUUCACUGGAAAAGAAAUAUGCUAAGAUAUUUUUCUUUCAUCACUGUACUGCUUCUGGAUUAGUUUUUGGUGUUCAACAGCAAGCAAGACCUUGCUUUUAACAAAAACUGAA
rnacentral:lncRNA from 1 species